rnacentral:rRNA from 1 species
UACUGYUCAGUAACACGUGGAUAACCUGCCCUAAGGAAGGGGAUACCCUCGGGAAACUGAGGAUAAUACCCUAUAGGUUACCGAUGCUGGAAUGCUCGGUAACUMAAAGUUCCGGCGCCUUAGGAUGGAUCUGCGGCCGAUUAGGUAGUUGUUGGGGUAASGGCCCAMCAAGCCCGUAAUCGGUACGGGUUGUGGGAGCAAGAGCCCGGAGUUGGAUUCUGAGACACGAAUCCAGGCCCUACGGGGCGCAGCAGGCGCGAAAACUUUACAAUGCGGGCAACCGUGAUAAAGGGAACCUCGAGUGCCUGUACAUGCAAGACUGUMUGGGUGUCUAAAACACACCCAAAGAAAGGGCCGGGCAAGACCGGUGCCAGCCGCCGCGGUAAUACCGGCGGCUCGAGUGGUGGCCACUUUUAUUGGGCUUAAAGCGUUCGUAGCUGGGUUGUUAAGUCUCUUGGGAAAUCCGGCGGCUUAACCGUCGGGCGUCUAAGAGAUACUGGCAAUCUUGGAACCGGGAGAGGUGAGGGGUACUUCGGGGGUAGGAGUGAAAUCCUGUAAUCCUCGAGGGACCACCUGUGGCGAAGGCGCCUCACCAGAACGGCUUCGACAGUGAGGGACGAAAGCUGGGGGAGCAAACCGGAUUAGAUACCCGGGUAGUCCCAGCCGUAAACGAUGUGCG